UACAGAGGAGCCAAGCGUUGUCCGGAUUUAUUGGGCGUAAAAGGGCGCGCAGGUGGUGCGGUAAGGCUGCCGUGAAAUCUCCCGGGCUCAACUGGGAGGGUGCGGUGCGACUGCCGGACUGGAGGCACUCAGAGGCCGGUGGAAUUCCCGGUGUAGCGGUGAAAUCGCGCAGAUAUCGGGAGGAACACCGGUGGCGAAGGCGGUCUCUGGCCUGUCUGGACGCUGAGGAGCGAAAGCGUGGGGAGCGAACAGG
rnacentral:rRNA from 1 species